rnacentral:rRNA from 1 species
GUUGAACGCUGGCGGCAGGCCUAACACAUGCAAGUCGAACGAGUGGCGGACGGGUGAGUAAUGUCUGAGAAACUGCCUGUUGGAGGGGGAUAACUACUGGAAACGGUCGCUAAUAACGCAUACCAUCAGAUGUGCCCAGAUUGGAUUAGCUUGUUGGUGGGGUAACGGCUCACCAAGGCGACGAUCCCUAGCUGGUCUGAGAGGAUGACCAGCCACACUGGAACGGAGACACGGCCCAGACUCCUACGGGAGGCAGCAGUGGGGAAUAUUGGACAAUGGGCGCAAGCCUGAUGCAGCCAUGCCGCGUGUGUGAAGAAGGUCUUCGGGUUGUAAAGUACUUUCAGUGGGGAGGCGUUACCCGCAGAAGAAGCACCGGCUAACUCCGUGCCAGCAGCCGCGGUAAUUC